AGGAGUGUAGCUCAACUGGUAGAGCACCGGUCUCCAAAACCGGGGGUUGUAGGUUCGAGUCCUAUCGCUCCUGCCA
rnacentral:tRNA from 2 species